AUUGAACGCUGGCGGCAUGCUUUACACAUGCAAGUCGAACGGUAACAGGGUGCUUGCACCGCUGACGAGUGGCGAACGGGUGAGUAAUGCGUCGGAACGUGCCGAGUAGUGGGGGAUAACGCUGCGAAAGUUGUGCUAAUACCGCAUACGUACUGAGGUAGAAAGUGGGGGACCUUCGGGCCUCACGCUAUUCGAGCGGCCGACGUCUGAUUAGCUAGUAGGUGAGGUAAAGGCUCACCUAGGCGACGAUCAGUAGCGGGUCUGAGAGGAUGAUCCGCCACACUGGGACUGAGACACGGCCCAGACUCCUACGGGAGGCAGCAGUGGGGAAUUUUGGACAAUGGGCGAAAGCCUGAUCCAGCCAUGCCGCGUGUCUGAAGAAGGCCUUCGGGUUGUAAAGGACCUUUGUCAGGGAGGAAAUCCCUAGUGCUAAUAACACUGGGGGAUGACAGUACCUGAAGAAUAAGCACCGGCUAACUACGUGCCAGCCGCCGCAGUAA
rnacentral:rRNA from 1 species